rnacentral:rRNA from 1 species
AGUGAACGCUGGCGGUAGGCCUAACACAUGCAAGUCGAGCGGCAGCACAGUAAGAGCUUGCUCUUACGGGUGGCGAGUGGCGGACGGGUGAGGAAUACAUCGGAAUCUACUUUUUCGUGGGGGAUAACGUAGGGAAACUUACGCUAAUACCGCAUACGACCUACGGGUGAAAGCAGGGGAUCUUCGGACCUUGCGCGAUUGAAUGAGCCGAUGUCGGAUUAGCUAGUUGGCGGGGUAAAGGCCCACCAAGGCGACGAUCCGUAGCUGGUCUGAGAGGAUGAUCAGCCACACUGGAACUGAGACACGGCCCAGACUCCUACGGGGGGCAGCAGCGGGGAAUAUUGGACGAUGGGCGCAUGCCUGAUCCAGCCAUACCGCGUGAGUGAAGAAGGCCUUCUGGUUGUAAAGCCCUUUUGUUGGGAAAGAAAAGCAGCAGGUUAAUACCCCGCUGUUCUGACGGUACCCAAAGAAUAAGCACCGGCUAACUUCGUG